GGCGAUUACAGGCGAAGAAGGACGUGCAAGCCUGCGAAAAAGCUCCGGGGAGCUGGCAAUGAAGCUUUGAUCCGGAGAUGUCCGAAUGGGGAAACCCACCCCGCAAGGGGUAUCGCACACUGAAUACAUAGGUGUGCGAAGCGAACCCGGCGAACUGAAACAUCUAAGUAGCCGGAGGAAAAGAAAUCAACCGAGAUUCCCCAAAAGUAGUGGCGAGCGAAAUGGGAGCAGCCUGCAAGUGAUAGUGGAUUCGUUAGCGGAAGCUUCUGGAAAGUAGCGCCGUAGUGGGUGACAGCCCCGUACGCGAAAACCAAUCCGUGGUACUGAGCUUGCGACAAGUAGGGCGGGGCACGAGAAACCCUGUCUGAACAUGGGGGGACCAUCCUCCAAGGCUAAAUACUCGUAAUCGACCGAUAGUGAACCAGUACCGUG
rnacentral:rRNA from 1 species